rnacentral:lncRNA from 1 species
UUUUGGUGUCUGGGAGCAUUUUCCUGGGAGAGGGAAGGGGUAAGGAGGCGAGGGAGGUGGGUCAUCUACAAUCAUCCCUUUACCCAGCUGGCUGGAAUUGCUGUAUAGGAAUUAAAAUCAACAAAGGAAGUCAUUGUGAAAAUACGCAUAGACGUGAGCUCUGGACAGAACAGGUUCAGGAAACGGAGGAGAUCCCCAGGAAGUCUUCCAAGCACAAAGAGGAGGAAAUGGAAAGUAUGAAAGUACGGAUGCAGGAACCUGUGAUUAAAGCAGAAAUGAAAGAAUGAAUAAGGGAACUAUAGUUCUGCAAACAAGAAAGGGAGGAGGAGGGAAUAAGACCAGCUCUCUUUGCAAGUCCUUCCUUCAUCAAGCCAUAGGAAGGAGGGAGCGGAUGGCACAGGAGCUCUGAAGAACAAAACACGGCUGGGAAAUCCAGUUCCCCUGUCCAUACCAUCUUAUAUCUGCAAGGACUUUAAUUGGACACCAGGGCUGGUGUUUGAACGGCAUUACUGUUAGUGGAGGGAGCUGACGGAAUGACUCAAGGCACAAGUAUAUCAUCUGAAGAAGACUAGAGCCUCAUUGCCUUAAAAGAAUCAGCAACAAGUGAAAAGUGGAGUCAUUCGUAACACAGCAAGUGAUAAUGAAGAUACGUGGGUUGAGUGGGGCUUUGCCUAAUAUGCCCUAGUGCCUCCUGAAAGUGAAUGAGGCCAGCUGGGAUGACUAGGCACUGCUCAGAGAGCUGGGGUGGUUUCUGGCUGUUCCUUUGUUUGCCCGUGGUGGCCAGCAUGUUUGCAGUUGGGAGGAUUCUUCACCAGUCUAACACAUGCCUCAGUUUUCUAGGUGAGAAACCCAGACAAGGUAUGGAUCCUGCUCCUUACUUAAGGGGGCAUGGUCUCUCUCCAGGCCAACAUGUAUCACCAGCGAUGAUAUCCUCUGGUGCUGGCACUGCACAGAGAUGGAACCUGAUGAAACGGCCCCAUUUGAGCGCCUGCUGUAUCGCGUUGGCUCUGCUUCCUGCAGCUGUGCUCCAAGAUGAGCCUUUCAGACAUCGCUCCCUAAUAGCUCCAUCUCCCCCAGUCCAGGAGGAUGCGCAUUCCUCUCCUCAUUCACAUGCACCACUUCAAGCCAUCUGCACGCUCUACAGGGGACUUGCCGCCUAACAUCCUAAUGUGCAACCCCAUCCAAAUCCUCUGCUGGAAUCUCACUAUUUGCACCACUUACGCUCCUGGAGCGUGAAACAGAAGGGCCAGUCCUCUUGUCUCUUUAUUCUAAGUGUUUAAUACAGAUUCCAUGGACUUGGUCCAUAACAAUAUGAGUGUGGUCUUACAUCAGUCCUUUUACUAAUUUCUCAUCAUCUCCCUCAUCCUUGUCCUUUAGUGAUUGUUCCAGACCUUCUCUUCUUAUCC